UCAUAGAUGUACACCAAUGGAAAUGGAGUCUUUGAUCUUUCAAGAAGAAGAGGCAGAGCUGGAAGGAUAGGGGUUUGAACUGCUUUUACCAAAGAAGAGUACCAGUUACCCCAGGUGGAGUGGAAACCCAGCACUAAAUUUGAGUGGAUAGGUCUUCUUUCUGAAACAAAUAAUGAAAGCCUACAGCAAAGAUGCCAUCAGACUAUUGGACACUGUGUCCCCACUGCUGUUGGCCAUUUCAAGCGGUCAGCUGAGACGCUGACUGAGGAGAAAGGAGCUGUAGAGACCUUGGCAGCUGCUCUAUCUCCACAGAUCAGGGGCCACAUCGGUCGACCAGUGCUCCCUGAUCCACUGCCCAGCAGCCUUUGAGACCGUGAUACUGCAGUGCUUUGUUGAGAUGUCCAACUGAGCUAUGCUUCGAAGGAACUCGAGGAGUAGCUAGGCAAGAGCAUCGAUGCCAAAAUGAAGGGGAUGGUCUUCCUCAAAGGAAAACCAGGAGUUUGUUUUGAUGUCUGCACUGAAGCAGACACAGAAACACAGGUGAAGUGGCAUGGUUGGAGAUGCUGGCAGCUCACCAUGGCCACUGAGGAGCCAGAGUUGAAAGGACCCCCAGAAAGAUAUCAAGGGGGCAGGGGCAGCAGAUGGCAGCCAUGGUGAUUUCAUGGGACAGCAGGGUGGAAGCAGGAACUUCCUGGAUCAGGGCAGGGACAGCAAGGAGGAAGUAGAAACUUCCGAGGACAAUGACCAAGAGGUGACAACAAAAGGUACCAGAUCCACAAUCAAAGGCCAGAAGUGGAGUUUAUAGUAAAGUAUUUGGUCAAUGAGUAGAGCCAAGAAGAAACUCUUCACAAUGGGCACCCCAGGGUCCCUCCUGCUCUCAAAGUCCCCAGUGCUUCAUUCCUUUUAGAUGAUUUACCAGCUCCCCUUCCUUGCAGAGAGGUUUCUGACCUGUCUGAGUAACCGUCAUUCUGUCUUCCUUUUGGAAAGAAAUAGGAAUGGAUGGAUGAAUGAGUGAAUGAAUGAAUGAAUGCAUAAUGUGAGGACGACAAAGUAAUCGAUCUGAUAUUGGGCCCUCAAUGCACUUCCCAGGUGCUGCUCCUCUAACUGGAGUCUCAGGAGCCAAUAGAGCAGCUGGGGAGGUGAUCAAAUCUCUCUCAGGUUGCAGCUUUAAUGCACUUCCCUGUGCAGCACAGUACUGCCUGUAAUUGCUAAACAGUAAAUAUCUGUCUCUUUGAUCUGCUGAAGAAGAAGCUCAGAGAGGCUAGUUUCCUUUUCACAAGAAUGGAAAGUUCCCUGAGGCCCAGAGUUGGGACAGCCACUAUGGUUUACAGCCUUGUCUGUUUGGUACAUUUCAUGCUGUGACCUCACAAAGAACCACUUGGAUGUAAGAAUGAGUGUCCUCUGUAUAAGACAGUGGACCAGCCUGUUGAAUUUGUCCAUAAGGACCGGGGAGCCGGUUAAUGUUGACCUGUGGGACUCCUUGAUAGCUGUGUAUUUUGUUAGUUGACGGGUUAUUGUACCUCACAACUUGUGUUCACCAGAUCACAGGGAUGGACAUCACUUCUAUUAAGAAGACUUUGGGCAGUCAGUAUAGGGUGGUUUUCUUUCUUGGACAGGGUUCAUAUGGCAGGGUGAGAUUGGCCUGGCACCGGAGAACGCAGGCCCUGGUUGCCAUCAAAACGGUAGAGAUCUGUAAGAAGACCAUCAGGGCAAUCCUGUCCGAAAUGACCACUUUGGAGUUACUGCACCAUCCAAAUAUAAUUUCCCUCUUCCAGAUCCUGGUUACAGCGAACCAGAUUCAUUUUAUUUUACAAUAUGCUCCAGGAGGCAACUUAGUAGAACUAAUAAAUGAGGAGGGCCCGCUGCCAGAAGAAAAGGCGAAGAAAAUGUUCGGACAGAUCGUAUCUGCGAUAAGAUAUUGCCAUAGUCUGGACAUUGUCCAUCGUGACAUCAAGCCACAGAAUAUACUGAUAGAUGGAGAGGGCAAUGUUAAGCUGAUCGACUUUGGCCUGGCAAUCAAAUGCAGACCUGGUACAUUACUGAGUAGGCACUGUGGAACCAGGGGCUUUAAUGCCCCUGAACUGGUAUUACAGCAGCCAUAUGAUGGCAAGAGUUCUGAUGUGUGGAGUUUGGGCGUACUCCUAUAUUUCAUCACCACUGGCUACUUUCCCUUCAGAGGAAACACCAUCAAUGAGAUUGAGCAAAAGAUUACAACGGGGACCUAUACCAUUCCACAUCACCUGUCUGGGCAACUCGAAAACCUGAUACAUCAAAUCCUCACGGUUUCCCCAGAGAUGAGGCCCUCUAUAGAGGAAAUUGAAAAUCACCCAUGGAUCAAGAAAUGCGAGUUUAAAAUCCCGACAAUGACUGACCCAGAUUACAAAAUUAUAGAAAUGCUCUGUGCGAUGGGGUAUAAUGCCAAUGACAUCUUGGAAUCCCUCCAAAAGAAAAGAUACGAUGAACCAAUGGGGGCAUAUUUGAGCUUAAAAGAUCAUGUAAGCAAAGGGUAUGAUCUUGGAUAUAUCACUUCAGCCAAGCCUGGGGAUCCGUGCCCUCCGCCACCCCCAUCACCAGCACAUCCCUCUGUCUUUGUCCUUCCUCUCAGGAGAAGGGCCAGUGAACCCAUCUUUGGCCACCACAGACCUCCCUCAAGAGAACAGAAUCCUCUUGACCUGAUUCUAUCAGGACUCAAGAUGAGCAGGUGUGUCUCCAUGCCUCCCAUUUCGGUAUACUAUCCUAAGAAGGAGAGAAGCACUUCUACCCGUGCCCUCCACUCAACACCUGUGGCCUCCCCAUGUGUCUACAACAACAUGUCGGGAGUUGAAAUAAUCCUGCCACCUAAGCAGGACAUUGAGAUGAAUACGUCAUCUCCCCCUCAGACGAUGGGAUGGUUUAAGAGACUCCGCAAAGGAAUCAGAGACUGCAUUUCAAGACUUUGCUGCCUCCCUCGGGCUCCAAAGAAAAAACCCCAGCAUAGAUCCUCCAAGAGAGUGGCCCCCCUGAAAAAGGCAGCAAGCAGUACCAUAUAAAAGCUUCCCUCCUGCAGAUAAUGGUGCAUUUGAGGCCAGGACAUUCAUGGAUUCCUGAGUACAAGGAAAGUGGCUCAUUGUUGCUAAGGAUCCCAACUCAAAUUAGCAACACUGGACUGCAAACACAAACUAAAAUCCUCCUACCUGAGCAAGGUAUGCAGAAAAAAUGAGAGACUGCUGUUUUCAGGGACAAGUGUCCAUAUGGAAUCUAUAGUGAUGAUCUAUGCCUGGCAGAGGAACAAUGGUCAACUAUCUAAUGGGCCCCCUCAAAGUCUCCCUGCAUCUCAGAAGAACACCAAUGUCCAGAGCUCUGUGAUUCCUGUAUCACUGUGGAGCAUCUGCCAAGAAUGGACACCAGCAUCAGUAGACCAGGGAGAGACUGGUUCCCACACUUUAGUUCUGCACGCCCAAACAGUAAAACAACAUCCUAUCCCCUAAUGAGGUAUGUACAUAAUGAUAGAGGAUUCUCCACACAAACUUGAUUUACAAGAACAGGGCCUCUUUGGUAGCCACCCAAACCAUCUGAAAUCAGGCAAGAAGACGUGAGCAGUAGCCUUCGAUCCCUGUACCUCAAGACCAAAUAACACUCAUUCUGAUAGGAUACAUGAGCUGGUCCUCGUUUAUCUUCAUUCCCCAAUUCCUUCUAUCUCCUAUCCGCAUGAAGACCUUUCCUUCCCAUGCUCUGAUCUGAAUCUUGUUCCGCAAUUCAUGGAACACAUGUGAAAAGUCCAUCUGAACCUCCAUGUCCUCAUUUGUCUGUAUGGACCUUCAGGAUGGACAGUCUCUGGAAGAUCCUGUGACAGCUGCAGGAUGGGCUGAGCAGCUGUGUUUGUCCAUAUCUACGGCAGAAGCACUUGAGCCAAUAGACUACCUAACAGUGCCAUCCUGCCCUUAACAAUGAAGUGAGGAUUCCCCUGUCUCCAUGUGAACCAACCUGCCUACCUCAACACUGUGCUAAUGUCGCUGCGGGAACACUAAGGACAUGAGGACUAUGAGAGUAGGAUGCUGGGUGCAAAAAACCAUGAGUUCCCUUUAAUACUGACUAAGAUGCUCAGGCCUCAAAGGAGGUGGACUGCAAGGGUGAGAGCUGAGGGUUCCUUCUGGAUAUGAGUCAACACCAGCAUGCAGGAAUCCACCAGGAUUGGACAGACGAUGCAUCUGACCGGAAGAGGGGAGUAGUAAGUUUCUGGCAUGCACGGAAAGAUCCCUCACUCUGUGUAAUUACCCAGGAAAUGAAAUAGUCUUGUCCAUGUGGACAUUGGUGCCCAAAUGAGAAAAAUAGUGUAUAUAUCCUGACCACUUAAAAGUCAUGCUUUUUCUGAGAGAACCUCUGAGCUCGAAAGACUGUGAAAUAGGAUGUCUGCCUGUACCAGAAUCUUUCCUGAGUGGAGAAUUUUAUCAGGAAGAAAGAGGCCCAGAGCAUGUACAUAUGUUGAACUCUUGAAGGGCACCCAGUUUGAAAGAGAACAUCAAAGGCCUGAAUCACUGUGAAACAUGCUGUCUGCAAGUACUAGAACACUUCCUGAGAGCAAGGGACACUGCCAAACCACUAGAGGCCAAAAGUUAUGAUGGAUAAAGAGACAGGAGUUCUGGUGACCUGUAACCACAUCAGGAGCCCCAAGGGUCACCUCCUGCUAAACCAAACAUAACCUUUAUCAGCGAAGGUCACUCCUGAGAAACCCUGUUGAGAAACCCUGCAGACAGGAAAGCCAAGGAGGCCUCCUCCUUCCCAUUGUCAUUGUCUUUUAAGGGAGCUUGAACAGGUUAGCUCCUACAGACUUCUUAAACUGCCUGGAACACUCUGCUAAUUCUGUUUCCUGUACUCUUCAACUGAGUCAAGAGAAGAAAACAGAUAUUUGGAACUCUGAUCCAAUCAAAUUAAUAUUCUGGUGAUCAGAAGCCAAGACUGUACAGAGAUUUCUGAGGCCUCUCCAGGAAUUCUGUCCAGAAUCCAGCUCUGGAGGACUUCAGUGUGCGAGAAUGUGAGUACGUUGGAUGGACUCUGGGGUCUAAGGAAUGAAGUUUGUCCUCAUUAGGACAAAAAGAUACAAGCGGAACGCCCGAGUACAUAUAGAACACAGGGUGCCAUGAUGUGGAGCCCGAAGACAAGGGAGGCUGCUGAACACUCUAAUGCCUGUAUGAGUGAAUUUCGACAUGAACAGUGUAGCUGGAUCUGUUUGCCUUCAGUUCAAGCUGCAAUGUUGUCACCAUCUCCUCUUAAAGCCCAUGUAUCCUUGACAAGGUUGUUCUGCCCUUCAAGCUCAUAUGAUGGUUGUGCAUGUAGGAGACCUAGCCUUCUGUCACCAAGGAAACAGAAAGCAGAGGAUGAAUGCGACCGUGGGAGGCUGCAGGCAAAAGUGAUGCGGGGCCAAAAAUGUACCUGGAAGCUACAUGGUACAAUCCCUGAGGCCCUGUUCAGACCUUCAUUCUAUUCUGGUGUCUUCCUAGUGACAGCCCUGCUAGCGAAUGACAACUUCUCCCUGACUCUUCCCCAGCCUUGCUUCCCAGUCCUGAGACUUGAAGAGCACAGAGGAGGGCCUCUGUAGGUCAGUCACUGGCUCUGGACCAUUGACCACUACCACUGCUUUUACUUGGGAUGGUGUUCAAAUUGUGGGAUGUCUGAGAAAGCUGGGUUCCACGUUUUGCUAUGCAACCUGUUCCUCACAUCCUGGACUUUGCCGGCUCCAGUCCUCAGUUGCCAUUCAGUAAGCAUUGUGACGUGUAAGGCUCUCAGGAGAAGCCAGAUCCCAGUGGCAUUAGUGUGACAAACAAGCUGUGCCCAAGUUGCUGACACUCUGGCAGAGUCCAGGACAUCCAGGAAGACAGAGGUGGUGAGUGAAAUGAUGUUCUCCACGCAGAGCACAGACCCUGGGAGUGUUGGGUAUUGCUACCUGCCAAAGGCCUGAAGUGUGCACUACUGCUGUGCUGGUGGUGGGAUUGUCAGAAGAUGAGGAGGCCAUCCUGAUAGAGACAGUGUAGGAAUCCCAGAAACAACAGCCCAUGUUGCUGCAUGUGGCUAACCAUCGUUGAUUUUGCAUGUCAGUUUCUAAGCCGAUAUCACCAACUAUGACUCUGACAUCCAAUGAAGCAGUCGAGGGCCAUGAUGCUUUUCUGACUGAAGCAACACAGCCUGAAGCCCAAAUCCCGAGGCUGUGCACCAAAGUCUUUCCCUGUUUGUCACUGGUACUGCUGCUAUUGAUUUAAAAAUCUAGUUCAAUAUGGGAAAAAUACACUUUACAAUCUCCUGGAACAUUCUGUCUCAGAGAGGACCGUGUCUACACUUCAAAGGAAAGACCAGAUCCUGGUGCUUUCCCACAAGAAGUUGCUCAAUGUGGCUACCAGGCAGGACAAACAUAAGCCUGUGUCUGCAGACAGGAGGGCACCAACAAUGUGUCAAGCAACCUCAUUUGCAUCGUCACAAGCAUCUGCAGUGUGGAUAUAUGAUCAACAUGGUCGUUUGACAGUUGUGGAGCCCCUCCCACCAAUAAAGCUUUUGUAGGUGAAGAACCCGAAGGAUCUGAGGCUGUGCCAGUACAUGCUGGAGAAAUACUUGACUGGACUCGGGAGUAGGAGCCUAGGCAUUGGCCCACAGAUGUGCUGUUCUCCUUUGGAUACCCGUCGCAACAACACAAUCUUCUCUGUCUACUGGAGUUGUCUUGGUUGUAGAUUUGGAGAUCCUCAAUCUCUCAGCUUAGUUCUCUAAUGUUAAGUCAUAUCGACUCUUAGCAUAGUACUUUAUUUGCCACUGUUCUUUCUACCUUAAUUUUUCCAGAAUUUUCUAUGGGUAAGUUAUUCCAUCUAUAACACUUUAUGAUGUGUAAGCCCACACGAGGGUACCCAGAGCCCAUACACAAUGUACUCUUAUUUACCUGAGAAGUCCAAGCCAGUAACCCCAAUCUUAACUCAGUGGUGAGAAGGAACUUAAAACUUAGAACAGGACUUGUUUUCAUUCCUUUCUUGUUAGUAUCAUUCACAACUUCUGUAGAAGUUGGGAGUCCAGAAAGCAAAGGGUGGGGUUUUCUCACAUGAUCUUGACCCAUGUUGGGUUUUCUGUCUUCCAUCUCCACCUUUAACAUUUAAUAUACCACAUCUCUCCAAAGGUCAUGCCUAUUCUAGUGUGCUGCACUCAGUGACGAAGUUGGAGCAAGUGUCAAAAGAGUGAAGGCCAAGCUCUGACUGUGACAGAGAGUUUGAGAUGGACAAAUGAUGCUUUGAAAAACACGUGACUUCUCGCUGGGACCUCCAUCUCCUGUAAAUAACCAACAACCUGUUCAAGGAUCAAUGUGCCUCUGACAUGAGGACAACAAGGUAGAAGGGAGUCCUCAGAAGGAAACGGGUCUGAGGGCUAACACCGUAAUGCUUCCAACUCUGUCUUCUAGGCAUCACUAACAAAUCUAUAUAGUCCUACCUCCCAGAAGAUGAGUGAAGGUGUUACAGUUAGGAUGAUUGUUGACAUGAGGCUCUCAGAGGUUCACCACAAAUCGGAAGGACAAGAUUGAGAUUGCCAUUCAUAUGGUCUUUCCAUAGUCUCCCCUUGCAAUCAGAAUUGACCAUCACUAUGGACCUCAUCUAUUAGAUGCAGGAUGUCUAGCAAGCCUCUGGACAGGCAGCAUGGCAGAAAUCAACUCUUUCCAAAAAAAAACAAAAAAAAAAAAGGCUGCUGAUGACACAGUGGAUAGAGCACACACAAGCUCCCUGUCGGACUCCCUCAGCUCCUGCAUGUCUCCUUGGCUAACAUUUCAGAGCUUCUGAUCCUUCAGACAUCAGCUUCUUGAUACUGAAGAGAUUGUUCUACCUGAUGAGCCCAGGCCUAGAAGAUGGACUACAUCCAAGAAGCCUGGCCCAUCUAAGGCCAAGUCACAUCUUUAAGAAAUAUUUGAAAGCAUGUGUGCACAGGAUAAAGGUGCAAGGACCAAAGUCUCCUCAGACUUUCCAGCAUUCAGAGGUUCUGACAGACUCAGGUCAAAGGUUACGUCUGAAGCCUAGAUCAUGAAGAAGGCCCCACUCCACAGGAGAAGCCUGUGGCUGAUGCUGUUGCAACCAGGACUAUGAUUGUGAAACUUGUGUCUGUGGAUAACAGAUUCACGAAUCUUGUGCCCAGGUAUCCACAGGCCUUUUUUCAUACAUUCCUUGGUAUAACUUUGCAAGUCCUGACUUUGGAAGAGUUGGGUCCUUAUGCUAUCUCACUUGACAUAUAGUCCAAGAAAGAUUUUUACCCCUUGAAGGGGCUGGAAAUAGACUGGACUCACAGUUACCAUUAAAACUGAAGUUCUGUC